CCCCUUCGGGGGACAGAGUGACAGGUGGUGCAUGGUUGUCGUCAGCUCGUGUCGUGAGAUGUUGGGUUAAGUCCCGCAACGAGCGCAACUCUUAAGCUUAGUUGCCAUCAUUAAGUUGGGCACUCUAAGUUGACUGCCGGUGACAAACCGGAGGAAGGUGGCGAUGACGUCAAAUCAUCAUGCCCCUUAUGAUAUGGGCUCCACACGUGCUACAAUGGACAAUACAAAGGGCAGCGAAACCGCGAGGUCAAGCAAAUCCCAUAAAGUUGUUCUCAGUUCGGAUUGUAGUCUGCAACUCGACUAUAUGAAGCUGGAAUCGCUAGUAAUCGUAGAUCAGCAUGCUACGGUGAAUACGUUCCCGGGUCUUGUACACACCGCCCGUCACACCACGAG
rnacentral:rRNA from 1 species